rnacentral:miRNA from 1 species
AGUGUGGAUCAUAAGGAGCUCC